UAUUGCUCUCUGCACAGAAAGAGGAUAUUUUAAGAGCCGAGAGUGAGCCGAAUACUACAGGGAUUAUAUCAAAAGCAAGACUUCGACAUCUGGGGGCGACGCGUCAAACUCACGCGGUGCUGAAAGCGGCGGAGUUCGCCACAAUAUGAGCUGUUUUAAGCCUCUGAUCUGAUGAACGCGCGUGAGGGGACUGUUAAUGUGGCUUUAAAAAUACGGAACCAUUAGGCGAUGUGUGUGAACCAGAGAAAAGAGCCUCAGGUGAAUAGAGGAUUUGUCAGAGAGGCGAGUGAGCGUGUCUGCUUAAAGCAGUCCUCAGGGUCUUUCCUCUAAGAGUGCCCUCAACAGUCAACAACGUCGAAAGUCGCCUACUUUAAGCGAAAAUAUGCGGAAGAGGAGGAUGUUCAGGGAAGCCUACAUGGAUAUUUACAAAAACACCUGAUCCUGCGUGAGGAGCGCAGCUGCAUCCUCCGUCUGUCCCUGCAGAAGCUGCGUUUCCUAGACGACCCCGAGGCGUACCUGCGCCGCUCCGUCCUGAUCAACAACCUGCUCCGCAAGAUCCACCUGGAUGAGGCCCAGAGGGAGAGAGACAAACGGGAGGAGGAGGAGAUCGAGAGGAGGCGCAAGAGACUCAAGCUGGUGCUCCAGGAGUACAAGCUGCUGCCGUAUUCGUCCUCCCCAGCCACGUGCAUCUGCGGCCUGGGGAGCUGCCACACCCUGCCUCCUGAUCAUAGAGUGCUACUCUACCAUUUGGAUGAGAAAGGAUAAGACGUCAUCGGGAGCGUCCAAAGGGGAUUUCUAACAGCCCGUGAGGGAUUUCCAGGAGCCGUGCGGCAAAAAGGAGAUUGGUGUUUGUGGAUUUGUGCAUGGUGAAGUCUGCUGGUGAGCCUGAGCUUUGAGGUUUCUGACAGACAGGUGUUUGUCCAUAUUUCAGGGUGCAUUUUUUCCAAUUGGAAAAAAGAGAACGUUGUCUUGUUAUCACUGCCUCGCUCUGUUGAUCUGAACUUUGAUCACAGACGUUUUUGUUUUCAUAAGUUUUGCUUGAGUAAGUUAUUAUCUUAAGCACCGUUUUCAGGGAUAAAAAAGGCAAAUGAAAGCCAUGCACUUUGUGGUAGUUAUGUUGUAAAAAAAAAAAAGGCGAAUUUUAAAUCGUCAGUGUCAAAGUCCUGCUAAGGAUGGAGUGAUUUUACUGAAGCUUUUGUGCUGUGAAAUGGACAAUUUUGUGUACGUGGCUAUGAUUUUGAACAAGAUUAUAAUUUUAUUAAAAUUCUCAAUAAAUGCAUCAAUGCUUGUUUUAUAUUAUGUGAAUCAACAGAAUUGAAUGCUGUGUUUCAGUUCUGAUGCUGUUAAUAAACAUUAAAUUCAAUUUGAAACAUUUAUUUUUUACCAUAUGAAACCAAAGCAUUAAUGCAUUUAUUAUUGAGAACUAACCCCAACAACUAAAGAAAAAAAUAAACAAAAUACAGCUGGGUUUCCAUAAGUUUAGCAAAAAAAGAAAAGAACAUAGGAAAAAUGCUAUGGAAAAGAGGUACAAUUAUAAAUUAAACAAAUAAUUCUUUAAAGGUAUAGUUCCCUCAAUAUUGUACAUUUCUUUUAAUUUACUCACCAUCCGGCCAUCUAAGAUGCAGUUAAAUCUUUUAGAACAUUAAGGAAGUUUUUAGCUUAGCCCCUUUCACACAUACAGACCUUUCCAGAAAAUAACCGGCAAAGAUCUGUAUGUGUGAACAGGCCCUUUUUGAAAAUACCAGUAAAUUCAUUCCGGUAAUUUUCCGGAAAAAGAAGUUGCAACAUUACUAGUAAUUUGCUGGAAUGCUGCGCUGUGUGAAUGCAGAAGGAAGAUUGCCGGUAACAGUGCGUUCACGAACACGCUGACGUGAGACGUCUACUUUAGCUAAUCAGAACAUUCAGAUGCAUUCAUAUCCGCGCGGUUAUUAAAAUAAAAUCCUUUAAAUAUUUUUCCAGACAUAUUUAGCUGCUGUUAAUCAGAUAACGUUUCUAUGUUCCUUCUUAAUGCCAACGGUGUAAAAAAUAAUCGAUAAAAUGCUUAUGACAAACCGCUGUUUGUUUACCUUCAAGCUCUGCUUCAGUUGCUUGACGAGUGUGCACGUGAAGCAGGCGGUGAGCGCCAACACACACACACAUAUAUUAUGUACUGUAAAUCUCGACAUGUGAAAGUGUUCCUCUAUAUGUUUUCAUAUAAAUUGUUCACAAUACUUAUCCAUCCACAUAAAUGCAGUCACGUGUAUAAACAUUUAGCUGCGGUUCGCGUUUAUGUCUUUGGAUGUCUCAUAAAGCAGCUGCAUGAAUGCUAAAGCUUUAAAUAAAAGCGAAAUCGCCGGAUCUCUAUUACACAAAACACCGGACCCCUUCUAUGUUUACAAAUACAAGCGCAGCCGUUUAGAGGUCAUUUCUGGUUAAUGAUGUCAGAAUUUACCGGUACUUUGGAAUGGAUGUGUGAAUGGUCUUUUCCGGAAAAAUUACGGAACGUCCGUGCCUGUGUGAACAGUGCUUUUUAAAAAAUUUACCGGUAAAGUACUUCCGGAAAUUUUCCAGAUAUUUACCGGUAUCACUGUGUGAAAGGGGCUAAUUGACUACAGGCACUUUUUAGAGUAAAAAAAUACAGGCAAAACCAUAUGACUCCUUAUAUAGAUCUUAUAAAUCGAAUCUUAUAAAGUGAAACAAACAGUUUGUGCAAUAAAAUGUAAAUGUUAUUUCCUAGAACCUUUCAUUAAAAAAAAACUUAGCAAAUGAUCCAGUCAGGUGUGGAUAACAUUGCAAAAAUAUGUUGCAAAACUCACAUGUGAGCUGACACUGUUUAAAACUUUUUUAUACCGUUUUCAAUUUCCAGGAUAAGCACAAGUAUCAUUUUGAUAAACAACAAAACACAAGUAUUCUCCCUCUCCAUUGUAAACAAACAGUGCCACCUCAUAUGAGUUUGCUCUGAUGUCAACGUGUGCAGGAUCAUUUGCCACGGCUGUGGACUAAACACAAGACACUGUAUAAAAAAUCCUGGUUAGCUUAAAUUUUUAGGCUGAAUCAAAUUAACUUUAUGAGUCCAUUGAGCUUAUUUUAUGUUAAACUGACUUAGAACAGCUUGCGUAGCUUAUAAAAUUAAGUAAGAACAUGAUUAACUUAGUUUAAUAAGUUACAACAACCUAAAAGCAUAUGUUGUUGGGAGUAAUUGAUCAUAUAGUUUUUUACAGUGUAGUAAUGUUUUUUCUUGCACAUAUUAAUUGUUUCCCUUCAUAGAUUGUACCAUCUUGGACAGUUCACCUAAAACUGAAAAUUUACAUUCUGUUUACUCACCCACAAGUGGUUCCAAACUUUUAUGGCAGGGGUGCCUAAACUCGCAUAGUGUCUUGCAUAGUUUAGCUCCAACUUCCUUCAACAUACCUGCUUGGAAGUUUCUAGUAUACCUAGAAAGAGCUUCAGGUGUGUUUAAUUGGGGUUGGAACCAGGGUGCGAAUAACAGGGAGGUUUGGGGGGACUGACCCCCCUAUUUAAAGCUUGAUCCCCCCUGAAGGACAUCAAAACAAGAUGUAUGGGGGGGUCUGCUCUUUAACAGUAAGAAAUAGCUUUCUCUGAUCUCUCAUUUAUAUAUUAAAUAUUAAUAAUUAAAAAUGUAAAUUAUGAGUAUACUUUUGACCCCCCAUAACAGUUCAUACCAUUGUGAAUGCAUAAUCAGGCCAAUUAAUGCUAGGAAAAAUAUAAUUCAACAGUCUGGACAAUCUCAACAGAAACUGGCAGUUCUAGAGCACCGAUAGACAUCUUAAGUAUUCACAAAAUAUGUUUCUUGUAAAAUAGGUGUUUAUAUCUGCAUGUAACCUAAAAAAGAAAAAUUAGACAUGUAAUUUGUAUAGUUUGACCAAAAGUAACCUCUAAAAUAGUCACAAAAUAUUCCUCAAAACACUGAAAACAUAUACAUUUUAUUAAUAAAUGAGAUGUGAUUUAAAUACAUUCAUAAAUUUGAUUCACUGAAGCAUGUAUUACCAAACUACUAGCGAAAAAGUUGACCCGAUUUUGGGUACCCCUGCUUUAUGGGCUUCAUUAUGCUGUUGAACACAAAAAAAGAUACUUUGAAGAAUGCUGAAAACUGGUAAACAUUGAUGUCCAUUGUAAGAAAACCAAAUGGUUGCAUGGAAGUCAAUGGUUACCGGAUUCUAGCUUCUUCUAAUUGUCUUUUGUGCUCAAAAGAAUUCAAACAGCACAGAAGCGCUGAACAGAAAUCUAGAACAAGUGAAGAGUAAAUAAACAAAUUGUUUUGGGUAAACUAUCCCUUUAAAUUUCAUUUACCUCCAAGUUUUUUUUAAUGGAGCCAGUUUUAUUUAAAGUACCACAGUCUCCGCUAGAAAUCUUCUAGAACGUUUUACUGAAGAAAAGGCCUGAGGUUGAGAAAUUAAUUGUCAAAUGUAUAUUUUGGUGUACUCUCCCUUUAAAGCCUUCUGAUUUGUCAGCUUAAUCAGGGUCUCUAGUGACAUGCAGCUCUCAUGAUCAUGAAAAAACUAGGAAAAAACGUAAAAAAGUUUAUUCAGAGGUUGUUGGAGUUUGGCAGAAACUUCAAUGUUAAGGUAACUCUGCCAUCUAGUGUUAUGGCGAUGAAUUCUCAGCUUUGGUUCAUUCGUUUCAAUCAUUUGUACUAACUGCAGUUUAUAAUGCCGUUUUACACACAUCCGUCCUUUGUAACAAAUUGAGGAAGUCUGUGCAGUUUUCUUUAGUUUCCAAUUCCCAUUCCUAUACACAAAUGGGUUUUCUACAUGGAUGGCGCUUUAAUCUUUCAAUCCGGAAACUUUAAUUGCACUGUAAAACCCAAAAAGUUAAGGUAACUCAAACCAUUUGAGGAAACCGAUUGCAACAAACCAAGUUCAAAAACCAACCCUAAUGAGUACUGAGAACUUAAACCAUUUGAGUAAACGAAGCUAUUUGAGCACAGUAAAAGCCGAUAAAUGAGAAGUCAAGCCAACUGACUACUGUAAAACCCAAUAAGUUAAGUCAACUCAAACCAUUUGAGGAAACCGACUGCUACAAACCAUUUGAGUUAAACUAAUUUAUAUGAGUCCUGUCAACUUACUCCAUUUAAGUUGAAGUAAUGAGGUAUUUAAUUAACUCAUUACCUUUAACACUGAGUUCAAAACUCUUUAAAUGAGUAGAGUUAACUUACAGUAAAAUUUUGUGUUUACUACACUUAUUUCAUUUGAUAAAGUUGACUGUUGGGUUUUACAGUGUGUGGGUGUCCGAAUAUGUCAUAACAAUGGCCUACAUUCAGUGCACAGACCCACGGUGUAUGAUUAACAGGGAAAACAAGGUAUACAAGCUUAAUGUGGUGUAAAAUCUCUCAUUCUUUGUUAUGCAGAACCUCAGACGAUCCUGUUCUCAUCUCAUAUCGAUGUGCAUGUCUCUCACGUGUUGGUUGGUUACACAAGGUUUUCUAACAGGUGAAUUAGUGCAAAACUAUUUUGGUACAGUACUGGAUCUCUUACUAUUAAUAUUUUUGCGUGUUUGUUGAUGCACAUUUGUAUUUGUAUUGCGAUUUGUUUUUCAGAAAUCUGAAUGUAAUUAAUGAAAUCUGAAUUCAUAGUGCUAUCUUUUGGACACUUCAAAGCAUAGACAUGGAUAUCCAGUUUAUUUUGAAAUGGAGCUAUUUUUGCUUUCAAAGAGAACAUUAUUCCUCAGAGAAUUUACUGCUAUUUUGGCAAAAACAGAUAUAAAAGUAGCAUACGAGAAUUGUCUAUUUUCAU